rnacentral:rRNA from 1 species
GGACGAAAGUCUGACGCAGCAACGCCGCGUGAGGGAUGAAGGCCUUCGGGUUGUAAACCUCUUUUAUCAGGGAAGAUAAUGACGGUACCUGAUGAAUAAGUCACGGCUAACUACGUGCCAGCAGCCGCGGUAAUACGUAGGUGACGAGCGUUGUCCGGAUUUACUGGGCGUAAAGAGCGCGCAGGCGGUCGUUCAAGUCGAGUGUGAAAGCCCCCGGCUCAACUGGGGAGGGUCAUUCGAUACUGAUCGACUCGAAGGCAGGAGAGGGUAGUGGAAUUCCCGGUGUAGUGGUGAAAUGCGUAGAUAUCGGGAGGAACACCAGUGGCGAAGGCGACUACCUGGCCUGUUCUUGACGCUGAGGCGCGAAAGCUAGGGGAGCAAACGGGAUUAGAUACCCCGGUAGUCCUAGCCGUAAACGAUGGACACUAGGUGUUGGUGGUAUCAACCCCGCCAGUGCCGAAGCUAACGCAUUAAGUGUCCCGCCUGGGGAGUACGGCCGCAAGGCUA